CCCUUAGAUGUUCUGGGCCGCACGCGCGCUACACUGAUGCAUUCAACAAGCCUAGCCUUGACCGAGAGGUCCGGGUAAUCUUUGAAACUGCAUCGUGAUGGGGAUAGAUUAUUGCAAUUAUUAAUCUUCAACGAGGAAUGCCUAGUAAGCGUGAUUCAUCAAAUCGCGUUGAUUACGUCCCUGCCCUUUGUACACACCGCCCGUCGCUCCUACCGAUUGAAUGUGUUGGUGAGGAGCUCGGAUUGGCAGCAGUUGGUGGUUCGCCACCGGCUAUUGCUGAGAAGUCCUCCAAACCGCCCCAUUUAGAGGAAGGAGAAGUCGUAACA
rnacentral:rRNA from 1 species